UAGCAUAUCAAUAAGCGGAGGAAAAGAAACCAACAGGGAUUGCCUCAGUAACGGCGAGUGAAGCGGCAACAGCUCAAAUUUGAAAUCUGGCCCUUUCAGGGUCCGAGUUGUAAUUUGCAGAGGGUGCUUUGGCGUCGGCCGUGGUCUAAGUUCCUUGGAACAGGACGUCACAGAGGGUGAGAAUCCCGUACGUGGCCGCCGGUCUUCGCCGUGUAAAGCCCCUUCGACGAGUCGAGUUGUUUGGGAAUGCAGCUCUAAAUGGGAGAUACAUUUCUUCUAAAGCUAAAUAUUGGCCAGAGACCGAUAGCGCACAAGUAGAGUGAUCGAAAGAUGAAAAGCACUUUGGAAAGAGAGUCAAAAAGCACGUGAAAUUGUUGAAAGGGAAGCGCUUGCAGCCAGACGUGCCCGCAGUUGCUCACCCAGGCUCUUGCCUGGGGCACUCUUCUGCGGGCAGGCCAGCAUCAGUUCGGGCGGUUGGAUAAAGGUCUCUAUCACGUACCACCCUUCGGGGUGUCCUUAUAGGGGAGACGCAACACGGCCAGCCUGAACUGAGGACCGCGCAUCAGCUAGGAUGCUGGCGUAAUGGCUGUAAGCGGCCCGUCUUGAAACACGGACCAAGGAGUCUAACAUCUAUGCGAGUGUUUGGGUGUAAAGCCCGGGCGCGCAAUGAAAGUGAACGGAGGUGGGAACCCUUUGGGUGCACCAUCGACCGAUCCUGAAGUCUUCGGAUGGAUUUGAGUAAGAGCAUAGCUGUUGGGACCCGAAAGAUGGUGAACUAUGCCUGAAUAGGGUGAAGCCAGGGGAAACCCUGGUGGAGGCUCGCAGCGGUUCUGACGUGCAAAUCGAUCGUCAAAUUUGGGCAUAGGGGCGAAAGACUAAUCGAA
rnacentral:rRNA from 1 species